UACGGAGGGGACUAGCGUUGUUCGGAAUUACUGGGCGUAAAGCGCACGUAGGCGGUUUUGUAAGUCAGGGGUGAAAUCCCGGGGCUCAACCCCGGAACUGCCUUUGAUACUGCGAAUCUCGAGUCCGGAAGAGGUGAGUGGAAUUCCUAGUGUAGAGGUGAAAUUCGUAGAUAUUAGGAAGAACACCAGUGGCGAAGGCGGCUCACUGGUCCGGUACUGACGCUGAGGUGCGAAAGCGUGGGGAGCAAACAGG
rnacentral:rRNA from 1 species